UACGGGGGGGGCAAGCGUUGUUCGGAAUUACUGGGCGUAAAGGGCUCGUAGGCGGCCAACUAAGUCAGACGUGAAAUCCCUCGGCUUAACCGGGGAACUGCGUCCGAUACUGGAUGGCUUGAGUGUGGGAGAGGGAUGCGGAAUUCCAGGUGUAGCGGUGAAAUGCGUAGAUAUCUGGAGGAACACCGGUGGCGAAGGCGGCAUCCUGGACCGGUAUUGACGCUGAUGCGCGAAAGCCAGGGGAGCAAACGGG
rnacentral:rRNA from 1 species